rnacentral:rRNA from 1 species
ACUCCUACGGGAGGCAGCAGUGGGGAAUAUUGCACAAUGGGGGAAACCCUGAUGCAGCCAUGCCGCGUGUGUGAAGAAGGCCUUCGGGUUGUAAAGCACUUUCAGUAGGGAGGAAGGUAGUGUAGUUAACACCUGCAUUAUUUGACGUUACCUACAGAAGAAGCACCGGCUAACUCCGUGCCAGCAGCCGCGGUAAUACGGAGGGUGCGAGCGUUAAUCGGAAUUACUGGGCGUAAAGCGCAUGCAGGCGGCCUGUUAAGUCGGAUGUGAAAGCCCGGGGCUUAACCUCGGAAUUGCAUUUGAAACUGGCAGGCUAGAGUCUGUAGAGGGGUUAGAAUUUCAGGUGUAGCGGUGAAAUGCGUAGAGAUCGUGAAGGAAUA